UACGUAGGGGGCAAGCGUUAUCCGGAUUUACUGGGCGUAAAGCGCGUUAAGGCGGCCGGCUAAGUUGGUGGUGAAAUUCCAGGGCUCAACCCUGGAACUGCCUCCAAUACUGGUCGGCUCGAGUGCGAGAGAGGAAGGUGGAAUUCCCGGUGUAGCGGUGGAAUGCGUAGAGAUCCGGAAGAACACCGGUGGCGAAGGCGGCCCGCUGGGCAGAGACUGACGCUGAGGCGCGACAGCGUGGGGAGCAAACAGG
rnacentral:rRNA from 1 species